UACGUAGGUGGCAAGCGUUGUCCGGAUUUACUGGGCGUAAAGAGCGCGCAGGCGGUCGAUCAAGUCGCGUGUGAAAGCCCCCGGCUCAACUGGGGAGGGUCACGCGAUACUGAUCGACUCGAAGGCAGGAGAGGGUAGUGGAAUUCCCGGUGUAGUGGUGAAAUGCGUAGAUAUCGGGAGGAACACCAGUGGCGAAGGCGGCUUCCUGGUCUGCGACUGACGCUGUGGCGCGAAAGCUAGGGGAGCAAACGGG
rnacentral:rRNA from 1 species